GUUCAUUCUCAUUAUUGCAUAGUAUUCCCUCCUGUGAAUAUAUUAUUAUGUAUUCAUCCAUCUAUUGUUAAUUGAUAUUUGGGUUCUAAUAUUUGGUUCUUACAAAUAGUCUGCUAUGAAAUUUCUUUUUAUUAUUUUUAGAAACAUAUAUACACAUAUACUUUAAUUGGCAUAAUCCCAGAGGCAGAAGUUCUGAGUCUCAGGGAAUGCAUAGGGCAACGUUAGUGGAUACUGCCAGUUUUUCAUAGCAGUUGAACCAGUUUAUAUCACCAGCAGUACAGGAGUUCCAGUUGCUUCCCAUCUUUGUCAUCACUUACUAUCAUCAGUCUUCUAAAUUUCUCAGUGAAUGUGUAGUGCAAUUUACUGAAGUUUUAAUUUGCAUUUCCCUUAUCACAAUUGAAAUUGAAUGAUUUUGAAUAUCUUCUGUUGUGAAAUACUUGUUCAGAUAUUUUGUCCAUAUCCUACCAGGUUAUUUUUUCCUCAAAAAUAUUAUAGGCAUACAUAACUAUACACACACAUGCAUAUAUACAUAUCAUACAUACACACAUAUCUUCUAGUUUGUGGCCUUUAUGUUAAUAUUUAUACAAAUAUCUUCUAUUCUGUGACUUGCCUUUUCAUUCUUGUUUUCUAUGACUUGUGUUCUUAUUCUUUUAGUAGUGACUUGCUAAGCAGAAAUCCAUGAAGAAUAAGUCUUUUAAAAACUUGAAUCAUUCUGGGUCAAUUCAAGGUUUCCCUUUCUUCUAUUUAUCUUGGUGGCUCCUAUAGAACAUGAUCCAGCUCCCCGUGGAAAGAGUGGUCAAGGCAGCAGCAUCUGUGGCCCGAUUACACCAUUCUUGGGGCCUCCUCUGACAUUCAGCGCCCAGAGACCACAAAGCUCAUUCUAUGAGCUCCAAGCACACCCUGUUUGCUCGCUUGGGAAGCCACAGACUUCACCAACCUGUGCUGUUCAAAAGAGAACAUUUUCUGGAUGAAGGCAACAGCUCACCUCCACAGGGUGCUGGCAGUUUGUCUGGAUUAAAAAUAGCGAGCAAUGUCCUAAGGCUGUUCUUGAGGAAAGAGACUCCAGGAACUGGCAUCAAUGGUCUCUUUCCAGACACCUCACUACGAGAGGAACAACUGACCCUGAGGAUAUGGGAAGGUGAGGUAUUGUAAAAUUCAGAUGCCUUUGGGAAGAGUCACACACUCCAUGCCUAAUAUCUGAAUGAGAUCACUCCCCAUCAUUUCUGCGGUUACUCCUUUGAUCCAAGCCACAGGUAUCUCCUCCCUGAAUUACUGGAAUAGCAUUCUGACUGGGCCCUCUGCUUCCACUGCGAUCCCUGUAAAGUCUCUUCUUAGCAUAAAACCAUAAUAAUCCUUUUUAAAAUUACAGCGGAUUAUGGGUCUCCUAUGCUCCAGACUCCAAUGUCUGCUCAUUUCUCCUUCCAAAGGCCUGAGUUUGUGCCAUGGCUUCCCUGCCCCGUGUGUUUGGGACCUAUGACUGUGUCUCCCCCAUUUCAUCUCCAUACUUCCCUCCAAUUUCAUCUCCUACACUUCUGCUCACUGUGGCCUCCUCACUAUACUUCAGGCAUACCUUAGGAUGCCAGCAUCAUCUGUUCCCCGUCUGUUCUUUAUCUGGCAUAGCCUCAUGGCUAAGUCUUUACCUCUGUGAAGAUCUUUUGUAAUGUUGCUUUCUCAUGGAGACCUACCCACACUAUCUAUUUUAAAAUUGUCACCUCCAUCUCCAUGGCCUUUCCAAAAGCCCUUUUCUCUGCUCUACUUCUUAAAUCUUUCCCAUAGAACUUAUCAACUUCUAACAUAAUUUAGAAGUUUCUUAUUUAUUAUGUUUAAUGUAAGUUGUCUGUCUCUUCCUAUCAGGAUGGAGCUUCCAUGAGGGCAGAAAUCUUCAUUAAUUGGGAUAUCAGUAUACCCCAAGUACCUAGAACAGCACCUGGCACAUAGUAGAUACUUGAAUCAUAUUUUAAGAAUGAAUGGGUAUAAAAAUUUCAUUUGCGAAGGACAGGAGAAUAUUAGCAAAGUAUAGAAACCCUAGAAGCCUCAAAAAAUAAGGGCAGUAAUGGAGAAAGAAACCAUGGAGGAUAAAGGGCUGUUAUUGUACCUGGUUGGUAACACACUCUUGGGCCAGUCUGGCUAGAAACUAAUUUGGAUCCCAGGC
rnacentral:lncRNA from 12 species